AGCUUUGCGCAGUGGCAGUAUCAUAGCCAAUGAGGUCAAACCGAGGCGUGAUUAUUGCUAAUUGUGAUGAAGCUUGAUGAAAGCGGAGGGGCUGUGUUCCCAUUAGGGAAGAGCUGCUGACUUAUUUUUUGUUGGGGGCUUCGCACAUGCUC
rnacentral:snRNA from 1 species